ensembl:lncRNA
GGAAGGGCAGAGAAAGGGAAGGGGAAGAGAAUAAAAAGGAAGGAGAAGAGAAGAGCUGCGCUGUCACUGCUACCGCCACCUCAAGAGGCCUUCCCAGGCGCUGGCCCAAGGAGGUCCCACAAAAACCACGACGUCAGGAAGAGAAUGCCUGGUAAUCCAACACACAAAGUGCUUUACCAAGACAGAGCCCAUAAGGCCGAGAGAAACUGUGAGGAACGUGGUGGGAAAAGGCGGGCAGGAAAGCACAAGAAGGGACCUCAAGGAUCAUGAAGCUCCAACCUCCAGACCCCGGCAGGGCCACCAACCUCCACAUUUCAUACCAGCCCAGGCUGCCCAGGGCCCCAUCCAGCCUGGCCUUGAACACCUCCAGGGAUGGACGGGGCAUCCACAGCCUCUCUGGGCAGCUGUUCCAACACCUCACCAUUCUCCUGGUGAUGAGCUACAGCCAGCUCUGUUGGCUGCUGGGUGUGAAGCGGGAGGACCCGAAGCCCGGUCCCUUGCACGCCGAUGUCAUAGGAACGAGAGCUUUCUUUCGGUCUUCCCUCUGGAAAGAGAUCUAAGAGUUCUCCUGUGAUCUCCAUCACGAACUGCUCGAGAUCGUCCUCUUCAGAGACGAGUGCUUCCCCCGCCUCUGCGCAGCUCAGCUGCUGUGUCUCAGCUGCGUCUUGUGAGGAAUAGGAUGGUGCACUUGAGACCUCCGACUGUGCCACGGAGUCCGCCUGGCUUCCUGGAAGCAGUUCCAGGCUUGGGAGGACAAGGAAGAGAACAAUCGGUACGUGACAUCUCUAACUGGAGAAGCGCUUUCAGCAAGAAGUCGUCCUCUGCGAAAACCUGUUUACUGACUGAGCUACUUUUCCCCACGACUUACUCAGCAGAGAUUUUGAGUAAGCAAUUGAAAUCAUUUCAGAGGACCUGUUCCUUUGUUGGAUUAUGCCACGACACAUCUCAAACACCCCCUUCUCCCCCUGAUGUGAAAGAACUUAUGUCUAAUGGAAAAAGGGCACUGAUGAUGAACGAGUUGUGGUCAUCACCUGCUUGGAGGUGUUUCGACUGCAGGAAUGGUCACCAGGCUGUCCCCGGGCAGGGCUGGAACGAUGGCCUAGGAAGAAACAAGACAUUGUGUAUGAAGCACGGGACAAAGAUUCCUAGGUAACUUCUUUUCCCAGAGAAGCUGCGGAUGCCCCGUCCCUGGAGGCAUCCAAGGCCAGGCUGGAUGGGUUUCCCGGCACUUGGAUCUCGUGGCUGGCAACCCUGCUCACAGCAGGACAGGUGGAACACGAGAUGAUCUCUGAGGACUCCUCCUCCCUUCCCUCAGCCUGAGCUGAGCCUGAACCCAAAUACGGAACCACGCUGCUCCCGAAGGAAGCAUUCUCUUGAAGGUUACAAGCGACCUUGGGUGUUUUUCACAGCGCAGCAUCAAUGGACAAAAUCCUUCCCACCACAGAGCCAUCUCCGAAUCCUAGAAUCGCAGACUAUUACAGAGUCAUCACUGCUCUACAUCUGAUCAAAACAGGAAGUUUGCACAAGUAUCCUGUGAGACAUCUGCUGCCUUCAAAGGAAACAGGAGACCUGCAGAACAU